CGAGGUAGAUAGGGCAGAGGUGGAAGUGUGGCAACACAUGGAGCUGACUGUUACUAAUCGUUUGAGGGCUUGACCAAAA
rnacentral:rRNA from 1 species